GGCAGCAUGCGACUCAGCCUGAUACUGAAUGCCACGCGUAUACAAGACGCCUUCGAGGUCGUAAAGUACUUUCAGCGGGGAGGAAGGUGUUGAGGUUAAUAACCUCAGCGAUUGACGUUACCCGCAGAAGAAGCCCCGGCUAUCUCCGUGCCAGCAGCCGCGGUAAU
rnacentral:rRNA from 1 species